rnacentral:rRNA from 1 species
GCCGACGAUGCGUAGGGGUUCUGAGAGGAAGGUCCCCCACAUUGGAACUGAGACACGGUCCAAACUCCUACGGGAGGCAGCAGUGAGGAAUAUUGGUCAAUGGCCGGAAGGCUGAACCAGCCAAGUCGCGUGAGGGAAUAAGGCCCUACGGGUCGUAAACCUCUUUUGUCAGGGAGCAAGGCCGCCCACGUGUGGACGGAAGGAGAGUACCUGGAGAAAAAGCAUCGGCUAACUCCGUGCCAGCAGCCGCGGUAAUACGGAGGAUGCGAGCGUUAUCCGGAUUUAUUGGGUUUAAAGGGUGCGUAGGCGGCCUGCCAAGUCAGCGGUAAAAUUGCGGGGCUCAACCCCGUACAGCCGUUGAAACUGCCGGGCUCGAGUGGGCGAGAAGUAUGCGGAAUGCGUGGUGUAGCGGUGAAAUGCAUAGAUAUCACGCAGAACCCCGAUUGCGAAGGCAGCAUACCGGCGCCCUACUGACGCUGAGGCACGAAAGUGCGGGGAUCAAACAGGAUUAGAUACCCUGGUAGUCCGCACAGUAAACGAUGAAUGCUAGCUGUCCGGGGGGAUUGACCCCUGG